AACGAGAGGAGUUUAAAAGGAAAAGGAGGAGUUUAAAAAGACAAAAGAGGAGUUUGAGAAGAAACAGAGCAAGUUAAUUGACGAGAAAGACAUCCUGUGCGUCCAAAUCGCAGCUCUUUGCUAUAAUUUAGGUCAUGGUCCGUUCUCUUACGUGUUUAAGGACAGGUUCAUCCCUAAAGUCCUAGAGCCUGGCAAUCAGUGGAAGGUAAGCAGAAAAAAAAAUCUCUUCUAUACUGUGCAUGCAAUGCAAACUGUAUUUUAAAUUUAGCAUUUCACAAUUCAUAAUUCUGUUUUCUAGGGAAAAGUGCUUUCUUUACAAAUAAAAACAAAUGCUACUUGAUUAAACACAAUGCGAAUACUAAAGUUACCUACUAAGUGUAAACUAAAUGAAAUAUUGUACUGUUAAAAGAAGCAAGU